GAUGAACGCUAGCGGGAGGCCUAACACAUGCAAGCCGAGCGGUAUUUCUUCCUCGGGAGAGAGAGAGCGGCGUACGGGUGCGGAACACGUGUGCAACCUGCCUUUAUCUAGAGGAUAGCCUUUCGAAAGGAAGAUUAAUACUCUAUAAUAUAUUAAUUGGCAUCAAUUGAUAUUGAAAACUCCGGUGGAUAGAGAUGGGCACGCGCAAGAUUAGCUAGUUGGUGAGGUAACGGCUCACCAAGGCAAUGAUCUUUAGGGGGCCUGAGAGGGUGAUCCCCCACACUGGUACUGAGACACGGACCAGACUCCUACGGGAGGCAGCAGUGAGGAAUAUUAGUCAAUGGGUGCAAGCCUGAACCAGCCAUCCCGCGUGAAGGAUUAAGGUCCUAUGGAUUGUAAACUUCUUUUGUAUAGGGAUAAACCUACCCUCGUGAGGGUAGCUGAAGGUACUAUACGAAUAAGCACCGGCUAACUACGUGCCAGCCGCCGCGGUAAUAC
rnacentral:rRNA from 1 species